GAGGGCGCGGCGCGGCGGGCGCGGGCAGGGCUGCGGCAUGGAGCGGAGCCGGAGCCCGCCCCGGUACGGGUCGCUGGAGCCCACCCGGUGGCCGCCCGCCGGCGCGGGGCCAGAGGAUGAGAUUGUCUCCAUGGCUGACUCAACCACCACCAUCGAUGACAUUGAAGGGGAGCUCUUCAAAAUCGAGAGGAUCAGGGAGAUCCUGGUGAGGAGGGAGUCAGAGCUGCGAUACAUGAUGGAUGACAUUCAGCUUUGUAAGGAAAUCAGCCGGCUGAAAAAGGAGCUUCAACAACUCAUCGCGCUUCCAGAGAAUGAGAAGUCCAACGAGGAGAGGCAGAAGGAAGAGGAGCUGGUGCAGCAGAUACACAAGCUGGUGGAAACACGGGAUUUCCUGGUGGAUGAUGUGGAGUUUGAGAGGCUCAGGGAAAGGGAAGAAGACAAGGAAAUGGCAGAGUUCUUGCAAAGUAAGCUCUCCAAAAGCUACCUCCAGAAAACAAGUAGGUGGUUGAUGAGUUUUAUUCCUUUCAUUGAACCUCCCUGGCAGUCUCUCCCCUUCCCUAAGCACUCUGGCUCCAAGAUUUCACUGCUUUUCUGGCUUACCUGGAGGCCACCUCUUGCUGGAGGAGGAUGUGGAGAAGCAGCACCUGGGGGAUGCUGGUGCCUGAGAUCGCAUUGUGGAAACAUCCUGAAUCAGUUCAGAGGUUAUGCUCCCAUUUCCCUCCCGGCAUUUCCCAGCCACCAUGUCCUAUGAGAAUGGGAAUAGGUUCUUUUAUGGCUGAUGUCCUUCAUCUAACACUUUCCAAAAAGUUUCUUACUUUUCAUCACACCAUUACCUAAGGUCACAAGUUGUGGUAUCCAUCCAGUCCUACCCUCUUCAUGACCUCUGAUGGCAGGCUACCCUCUUCCCCCCUUCCUCGUCAUUACUGAAGGAACACCUUCCCAGCACGGUGGGAGGCAUUUCCAGUCCAGGGUCCCGGUGGCUGUGUCCUACCUGUGGAUACCUACGAAGCAUGGAUGGUGAUGUGCCUCCUGGAUGCAGGAGCUUAUGCCCAGCUGUGGGUCUGAGGAGGGUCAGCAUCUUAGCUCUGAAAGGAGCUCUAAGCAGCAGUGAUGGGCCUGUGCCCUUACCAUCAGGCAGACAUUGAUUCCUCUUUCCACAGCUCCUGCCAAAGAGAAGAAGGUGACUUCCAGGGGGCAGCAAACCUCCGCACCGUACGUGACCAAAACAGGCCUCACCCUGCUCAAGGAGUGCUGCGGCUUCACCUGCUCCAUCAUGUAGGCCACCCCCAGCUCCUCUGCACAGGACAGGACCAUGGUCUCCAGCUAGAGUCCACAAUCUGCUCUCCUCUGAGCGUUUCAACUCCCCGUCAUUGUUCAUGCUUCCCACUGCAGCAGCACCACCAAAGAGACUUCCCGAGCAGGCUGGUGCAAGCUUGAAUGAUGGCAUGUGUCCUUGGGGCCGUGUCAGUGGCUGUCUCCUCCAUGACUUCAAACAAACACCGAGUUCCACCUGAGCUCAGCUUGGAAGAGGUGUGUGCAGCAACAGCAAGUGAGGCCAUGACAAAGAGGACCAGUGCAGUCCUUCACCUGGACAGAGUGAUAGAGAAAGCAUUGGAGAACAUUGUGCUCCACCAUCCAAGACAUGCUGUGGCCACAGAUGAUGUCUCAUCCUUGGCCUUGUGCCACCUUGUGGGUCUCUAUGGGAUGAUUCCUGAGGACUCUUGGUGGGGAAUGUCUCUGGUCUGGGUUUCCUUGUGUUUGCAUCAGUUUUGUUGCAAGGUGCUCUAUGGCUCUGGGUAGAGCUGAGCAAAAUGUGAAGGACAUACCCCAGAGCUGGCUGAAUGAAGGGCUAAUUCUGGUGAAGUUCUCACCUCAGCACAGACCUGGUGUGUUGAACUAUGGGCAGAUGAGUUGCUUUCCUCACCUCACUAUGACGGAUUCACUUUUCAGCUCUAAGGAAAAGGAGGAAAUUAGAGCAAAAGAGAAAGGGAGAAAAAUCCAGAAGAACAGGGCAGGGUGCGGGAGAAAAGGAAAAGGAAAACCAAUCAGGAGCCUAGAAACGUGCCAGGGGAAGGUGGAGGCAGCAGAUGAGACACUCUCACUACCAAGAGGGCAUUCAGUCCUGCCCUCCAGUGCCCCAGCCAGCGCCUCUGGGCUUGGAACCAUGACCUGGACAUAAAGCCCUGUGCAAAAGCCUCAUGGAACCCUGAGGGCACCCAGUGUCUCAGUUCCCAUUGUCCCUUCUGAGCACCCAUCUGUGUUGAGGUGGCACAGCCAGAGCUGCUAAUGCCCUUCGUGGCAGGACAGGGCUCUCCUUGCUGGGCGUGAAGGCCUCUCACAUCUUCCCCCUGCCUGCUCUUCUGCUCCAUAGGCUGCUAUGGCUUCACUGGAUGUUCUGGGAUGGGCUCCCAUUUGGGUGGCUGCCCAAGAGCUGUGGCUGCCCUCUGGCCAAAAUGCUCCAGCUCAGUCUUUCUGCAACUUGCUGUAGGGUCUUAAGAUGGUGCUCCUGCCUUGUCACUGCCCAUCAUGCCCAUGCCAGUGAGAUGGCCGCAACCUAUUUGGCCCUUUCCCUUGCGCCUGAUAGCACAUUUGUCCAUCUAAAACGUAAUGCAGGUGGGAUCCUUCCUAGUGCAGUGCCAUGAGCAGGUCCAAGCCCCUCCUGAAUGUCUUCGUCAGCACUGCCAGGAAACCCAGUGUGUGGGAACCUGUUCUUUAACCUGUGCAAGGGGGUUUCCACUCACUUGUCCUUCUUGAGCAAUCUCCUCCUCCUAUGGCUCUUAGCAGCCAGAAAAGUCCACAAACUAAACCAGUCCCUCUGCACAUUCAUAGACCAGGCUACGAGGUCCAACUGGGCCAACACAAUCCUGGUCACCUCCAGCAAACUUGUGGUUUGUGUCAUCUUGAGUCACUGGUCUCAGUCUGAACAUGCCGACUUUGUGCUGCUCAUUGUUAAUGUCCUACAGCAUCCUACAACCACCACCUGCCAGUUCCUGGUGCUCUCCUUGCUUGGGGGAGACUUCAGUGUGUGCUGGAGGGAGCCUCCUGCAGAUCACAGGGCCAAAUUAAGCCACAGGGAGCUCCCCUCUGCUUUGCCAACCCUCUGUAACGGAGUGAGGUGCAGUACAUGGAGCUGUUGUCCAACCAGGGAUGUCAGGACAUCAUUGGUGGCAUCCAUCCUGGAGGUGGUGGGGCAGAUGAGGCCACUCACUCCCUGCUCUUACAGAAACUGUCCAGUGAUUUCUUUGCUUGGUCACUCUGCAGUCAUGUACGUGGUGCAAUACGAGUGUUUGCUUGGAUCUGCACAGACCAAAGGCUCCAUACCUGGAAGCCCUCUCCUCAUUGUCCUUGCCUUCCUCAGAAUCUUCUUGGGAAGGGUGGGUAACCAAAACUGGUUGGUUGUAUGGAGAGGGAGCUAAGGAAGAAGAGCCCUUGAUUCAGAACUUGCUCCUCUAAUUCAUCCCUACCUCCAGCCCACAAGACCCCAGACUUCAGCUGAGCAGUGCUUGGCCAGGCAGGAGGAUGGCUGGGGGCACAUGGGCAAGGUCCUCGCCUCGUUUGUUCUGUGUUUGUGUGGCUGGUCAUGGAGAAGGAGACAGGCUUCUGUCCUGGUCAUACAAUACCAUUUGGCCUGUACUUUAACCCAUGGCAAAGGUGUGCAGCACACGGGAGCAACACUGUUUCAUGUGCAUUGAUUUCAACCCAAAUAAAUGUCUGUUGGAA
rnacentral:lncRNA from 1 species